rnacentral:lncRNA from 1 species
ACCGGAGGGAGAGCCCGACCUCCCAGACCCCAAGGUAGACGGGCGACGCCCCCCGCCCCCACCCAGGGGUCUUGAAACCUCCGCGCCAGGACGCGCUAGGUACCUGGAAAGGGGGAGGUGGGCGAGGCGGGGCGUGGUGCCCCACGGGCCCGCGGCCCAGACCCUGACCACCGCCUCCGCCCGCGGGCCUCGGGCGCUACCAGCCCGUGACGCGGGGCCUGCCCGGCCCUGGCCAACAGCCGCCUGGAGUCCCUACAGCCGCCGCCACCAGCCCCGACGACCCCCCCCCACCCCCAUUUCAACCCCGAAAAGGAGCAGAACCCCACCGCGCGCCCAGACGGCACCCUCCUCUUCCCCCACAGCCGUGGCCCGUCCCCGCACCCACGUCCCAGGCACCCUUUCCCCUGCCACCGAGGGCAGAGGGACGCUCCGACGGGAAGCGUGGCGCAGUCGGGCAGGAGCACGACAGAGGAAGGGCGCGAGAGAGCCGGCCGGCCGGUCGGAGGGCACUCCCCAGGCUCGGAGGGCGGGGAGAGGCGCCUGGCGACCUGGCGGAGAGCAGAGCAAAGGACAAGCGACGACCGGCCGGGAAGACUGGUCCAGGGCCGGCGGCGACCGGCAGGCGAGCGGCCCCGCCGCGCAGCCUGCGAGAUGCACCGGACGCUCCGGACUGUGCCGUCACGACCGGGGACAGUCCUGGCCACCGCCAGAGGCGAAGGUGUGUAGCCGGGGGAACCUCGGCCCCCCAGCCUCGAGACCACCGGACCCGACAGCCGGCCGUCGGGAAUACCCUGUCUCCGCGCGGAGGGACUGGCCUCCGGAUGUCUCCCUCCCUCCGUCCCAUCCCGCGCCGCACGGGUGGAGGAAGCUCGCGAGCCGGCGGGCGAGGCCACUGCGCUGUUACCUAACAAAUUGGCAUCAGGAUAGACAAAUCCUCCAAUGGAAGAAAAUACGGAGUCCAGAAAAGAAAGUAGAAAAUACCAUAUACAAAAAUUUUUUUAUCCUAUAAGUCUUUAUUUCUGGAUAUUUUUAAAUAUAAAUUUAUUUAUUUUAAUUGGAGGUUAAUUACUUUACAAUAUUGUAUUGUUUUGCCUUCAGUUCAGUUCAGUUCAGUCGCUCAGUCCUGUCUGACUCUUUGCGACCCAUGAAUCGCAGCACUCCAGGCCUCCCUGUCCAUCACCAACUCCCGGAGUUCAACAUGAAUCUGCCAAUACAAAAUUUAAUUCAAAAUGAAACACUGACCUAAAUGUAAAC